CAGCCGCCGCGGGAAUACGUAGGUCCCGAGCGUUGUCCGGAUUUAUUGGGCGUAAAGCGAGCGCAGGCGGUUAGAAAAGUCUGAAGUGAAAGGCAGUGGCUCAACCAUUGUAGGCUUUGGAAACUGUUUAACUUGAGUGCAGAAGGGGAGAGUGGAGUUCCAUGUGUAGCGGUGAAAUGCGUAGAUAUAUGGAGGAACACCGGUGGCGAAAGCGGCUCUCUGGUCUGUAACUGACGCUGAGGCUCGAAAGCGUGGGGAACGAACAGGAUUAGAUACCCCGGUAGUCCCUGUCUCUUAUACA
rnacentral:rRNA from 1 species